UAGGGAAUAUUGGACAAUGGGUGAGAGCCUGAUCCAGCCAUGCCGCGUGCAGGAAGAAGGCGUUAUGCGUUGUAAACUGCUUUUGCCAGGGGAUAAAAAGACCGUGCGCGGUUAAUUGAAGGUACCUGGUGAAUAAGCCACGGCUAACUACGUGCCAGCAGCCGCGGUAAUACGUAGGUGGCAAGCGUUGUCCGGAUUUAUUGGGUUUAAAGGGUGCGUAGGUGGCCCUGUAAGUCAGUGGUGAAAUAUCUCAGCUUAACUGAGAGGGUGCCAUUGAUACUGCAGGGCUUGAGUACAGAUGAGGUAGGCGGAAUUGACGGUGUAGCGGUGAAAUGCAUAGAUAUCGUCAAGGACACCGAUAGCGAAGGCAGCUUACCAAGCUGUAACUGACACUGAGGCACGAAAGUGUGGGGAUCAAACAGGAUUAGAUACCCCUGUAGUCCCUGAG
rnacentral:rRNA from 1 species